UCCGGGCGUGGUGGCACGCGCCUGUAAUCCCAGCUACUCAGGAGGCUGAGGCAGGAGAAUCACUUGAACCCAGGAGGCGGAGGUUGCAGUGAGCUGAGAUUCUGCCACUGCACCUCAGCCUGGGCAACAGAGUGAGAUUCUGUCUCAA
rnacentral:SRP_RNA from 2 species